rnacentral:rRNA from 1 species
CUCGUAGGCGGUUCAGUAAGUUAGGUGUGAAAGCUCCGGGCUCAACCCGGAGAGGCCACUCAAUACUGCUGUGACUAGAGUCCAGUAGAGGAGCGUGGAACUCCUGGUGUAGCGGUGAAAUGCGCAGAUAUCAGGAAGAACACCGGCAGCGAAGGCGGCGCUCUGGGCUGGUACUGACGCUGAGGAGCGAAAGCAUGGGUAGCAAACA